CCUACGGGAGGCAGCAGUGGGGAAUAUUGCACAAUGGGCGAAAGCCUGAUGCAGCGACGCCGCGUGAGGGAUGACGGCCUUCGGGUUGUAAACCUCUUUCAGCAGGGACGAAGCGAAAGUGACGGUACCUGCAGAAGAAGCACCGGCCAACUACGUGCCAGCAGCCGCGGUAAUACGUAGGGUGCAAGCGUUGUCCGGAAUUACUGGGCGUAAAGAGCUUGUAGGCGGUUUGUCGCGUCGUCUGUGAAAACUCGAGGCUCAACCUCGAGCUUGCAGGCGAUACGGGCAGACUUGAGUACUGCAGGGGAGACUGGAAUUCCUGGUGUAGCGGUGAAAUGCGCAGAUAUCAGGAGGAACCCCGGUGGCGAAGGCGGGUCUCUGGGCAGUAACUGACGCUGAGGAGCGAAAGCGUGGGUAGCGAACAGGAUUAGAUACCCUGGUAGUCCACGCCGUAAACGGUGGGCGCUAGGUGUGGGUUUCCUUCCACGGGAUCCGUGCCGUAGCUAACGCAUUAAGCGCCCCGCCUGGGGAGUACGGCCGCAAGGUUAAAACUCAAAGGAUUUGACGGGGGCCCUCACAAGCGGC
rnacentral:rRNA from 1 species